UGCCUGUACCAUAACCGACACAGGUGGGUAAGUAGAGUAUACUAAGGGGCGCGAGAUAACUCUCUCUAAGGAACUCGGCAAAAUAACUCCGUAACUUCGGGAGAAGGAGUGCCUUAUUCUUAAGGUUGCAAUAACAAGAUCCAACAACUGUUUAUCAAAAACACAGGUCUCCGCUAAGUCGUAAGACGAUGUAUGGGGGCUGACGCCUGCCCAGUGCCAGAAGGUUAAAGAAGUCGGUUAGCAAUAGCAAAGCUGGUAACUGAAGCCCUGGUGAACGGCGGCCGUAACAAUAACGGUCCUAAGGUAGCGAAAUUCCUUGUCGGGUAAGUUCCGACCCGCACGAAAGGCGUAAUGAUUUGGAUGCUGUCUCGGAGAGGGGCUCGGUGAAAUAGACUUGUCUGUGAAGAAGCGGACUACCUGCACCAGGACAGAAAGACCCUAUGAAGCUUACUGUAACUUGAAAUUGAAAUUGGACUUUAUUCGCGCAGUAUAGGUGGGAGGCGUUGAUUAUAAUCUUGUGGGAUUAUUGGAGCCAUCAGUGAGAUACCACUCUUGUAAUGUUAGAUUUCUAACUUUGAAUCAUUAUCUGGUCAAAGGACAGUUUCAGGCGGGCAGUUUGACUGGGGCGGUCGCCUCCUAAACGGUAACGGAGGCGUACAAAGGUUUCCUCUGAACGGUUAGAAAUCGUAUCUAGAGUGUAAAGGCAUAAGGAAGCUUGACUGUGAGACCUACAAGUCGAGCAGGGACGAAAGUCGGUCUUAGUGAUCUGACGGUACAGAGUGGAAAGGCCGUCACUCAACGGAUAAAAGUUACUCUAGGAUAACAGGCUGAUCUCCCCCAAGAGUUCACAUCGACGGGGAGGUUUGGCACCUCGAUGUCGGCUCAUCGCAUCCUGGGGCGGUAGUACGUCCCAAGGGUUGGGCUGUUCGCCCAUGAAAGCGGUACGCGAGCUGGGUUCAGAACGUCGUGAGACAGUUCGGUCCAUAUCCGGUGUAGGCGCUAGAAUAUUGAGAGGAGCCUUCUUUAGUACGAGAGGACCGAGAAGGACAUACCUCUGGUGUACCAGUUAUCGUGCCAACGGUAAACGCUGGGUAGCUAUGUAUGGAGUGGAUAACCGCUGAAAGCAUCUAAGUGGGAAGCCCACCUCAAGAUAAGUAUUCUCAUCACGUAAGUGAGUAAGGUCACGGUAAGACUAACCGUUUGAUAGGCAUUAAGUGUAAGUACAGUAAUGUAUGUGCUGAGAUGUCCUAAUAGACCGAGGACUU
rnacentral:rRNA from 1 species